rnacentral:rRNA from 1 species
GGUCAAGUGAAGAAGCGCAUACGGUGGAUGCCUUGGCAGUCAGAGGCGAUGAAAGACGUGGUAGCCUGCGAAAAGCUUCGGGGAGUCGGCAAACAGACUUUGAUCCGGAGAUGUCUGAAUGGGGGAACCCAGCCAUCAUAAGAUGGUUAUCUUGUACUGAAUACAUAGGUGCAAGAGGCGAACCAGGGGAACUGAAACAUCUAAGUACCCUGAGGAAAAGAAAUCAACCGAGAUUCCCUUAGUAGUGGCGAGCGAACGGGGACUAGCCCUUAAGUGGCUUUGAGAUUAGCGGAACGCUCUGGAAAGUGCGGCCAUAGUGGGUGAUAGCCCUGUACGCGAAAAUCUCUUAGUCAUGAAAUCGAGUAGGACGGAGCACGAGAAACUUUGUCUGAAUAUGGGGGGACCAUCCUCCAAGGCUAAAUACUACUGACUGACCGAUAGUGAACUAGUACCGUGAGGGAAAGGCGAAAAGAACCCCGGAGAGGGGAGUGAAAUAGAUCCUGAAACCGUAUGCGUACAAGCAGUGGGAGCCCACUUUGUUGGGUGACUGCGUACCUUUUGUAUAAUGGGUCAGCGACUUAUUUUCAGUGGCGAGCUUAACCGAAUAGGGGAGGCGUAGCGAAAGCGAGUCUUAAUAGGGCGUCUAGUCGCUGGGAAUAGACCCGAAACCGGGCGAUCUAUCCAUGGGCAGGUUGAAGGUUGGGUAACACUAACUGGAGGACCGAACCGACUACCGUUGAAAAGUUAGCGGAUGACCUGUGGAUCGGAGUGAAAGGCUAAUCAAGCUCGGAGAUAGCUGGUUCUCCUCGAAAGCUAUUUAGGUAGCGCCUCAUGUAUCACUGUAGGGGGUAGAGCACUGUUUCGGCUAGGGGGUCAUCCCGACUUACCAAACCGAUGCAAACUCCGAAUACCUACAAGUGCCGAGCAUGGGAGACACACGGCGGGUGCUAACGUCCGUCGUGAAAAGGGAAACAACCCAGACCGUCAGCUAAGGUCCCAAAGUUAUGGUUAAGUGGGAAACGAUGUGGGAAGGCUUAGACAGCUAGGAGGUUGGCUUAGAAGCAGCCACCCUUUAAAGAAAGCGUAAUAGCUCACUAGUCGAGUCGGCCUGCGCGGAAGAUGUAACGGGGCUCAAACCAUACACCGAAGCUACGGGUAUCACGUAAGUGAUGCGGUAGAGGAGCGUUCUGUAAGCCUGUGAAGGUGAGUUGAGAAGCUUGCUGGAGGUAUCAGAAGUGCGAAUGCUGACAUGAGUAACGACAAUGGGUGUGAAAAACACCCACGCCGAAAGACCAAGGUUUCCUGCGCAACGUUAAUCGACGCAGGGUUAGUCGGUCCCUAAGGCGAGGCUGAAAAGCGUAGUCGAUGGAAAACAGGUUAAUAUUCCUGUACUUCUGGUUAUUGCGAUGGAGGGACGGAGAAGGCUAGGCCAGCUUGGCGUUGGUUGUCCAAGUUUAAGGUGGUAGGCUGGAAUCUUAGGUAAAUCCGGGAUUCUAAGGCCGAGAGCUGAUGACGAGCUAACUUUUAGUUAGCGAAGUGGUUGAUGCCAUGCUUCCAAGAAAAGCUUCUAAGCUUCAGGUAACCAGGAACCGUACCCCAAACCGACACAGGUGGUUGGGUAGAGAAUACCAAGGCGCUUGAGAGAACUCGGGUGAAGGAACUAGGCAAAAUGGCACCGUAACUUCGGGAGAAGGUGCGCCGGUGAGGGUGAAGGACUUGCUCCGUAAGCCCAUGCCGGUCGAAGAUACCAGGCCGCUGCGACUGUUUAUUAAAAACACAGCACUCUGCAAACACGAAAGUGGACGUAUAGGGUGUGACGCCUGCCCGGUGCCGGAAGGUUAAUUGAUGGGGUUAGCUAACGCGAAGCUCUUGAUCGAAGCCCCGGUAAACGGCGGCCGUAACUAUAACGGUCCUAAGGUAGCGAAAUUCCUUGUCGGGUAAGUUCCGACCUGCACGAAUGGCGUAACGAUGGCGGCGCUGUCUCCACCCGAGACUCAGUGAAAUUGAAAUCGCUGUGAAGAUGCAGUGUAUCCGCGGCUAGACGGAAAGACCCCGUGAACCUUUACUAUAGCUUUGCACUGGACUUUGAAUUUGCUUGUGUAGGAUAGGUGGGAGGCUUUGAAGCGUGGACGCCAGUCUGCGUGGAGCCAACCUUGAAAUACCACCCUGGCAACUUUGAGGUUCUAACUCAGGUCCGUUAUCCGGAUCGAGGACAGUGUAUGGUGGGUAGUUUGACUGGGGCGGUCUCCUCCUAAAGAGUAACGGAGGAGUACGAAGGUGCGCUCAGACCGGUCGGAAAUCGGUCGUAGAGUAUAAAGGCAAAAGCGCGCUUGACUGCGAGACAGACACGUCGAGCAGGUACGAAAGUAGGUCUUAGUGAUCCGGUGGUUCUGUAUGGAAGGGCCAUCGCUCAACGGAUAAAAGGUACUCCGGGGAUAACAGGCUGAUACCGCCCAAGAGUUCAUAUCGACGGCGGUGUUUGGCACCUCGAUGUCGGCUCAUCACAUCCUGGGGCUGAAGCCGGUCCCAAGGGUAUGGCUGUUCGCCAUUUAAAGUGGUACGCGAGCUGGGUUUAGAACGUCGUGAGACAGUUCGGUCCCUAUCUGCCGUGGACGUUUGAGAUUUGAGAGGGGCUGCUCCUAGUACGAGAGGACCGGAGUGGACGAACCUCUGGUGUUCCGGUUGUCACGCCAGUGGCAUUGCCGGGUAGCUAUGUUCGGAAUAGAUAACCGCUGAAAGCAUCUAAGCGGGAAACUAGCCUCAAGAUGAGAUCUCACUGGAACCUUGAGUUCCCUGAAGGGCCGUCGAAGACUACGACGUUGAUAGGUUGGGUGUGUAAGCGCUGUGAGGCGUUGAGCUAACCAAUACUAAUUGCCCGUGAGGCUUGACCAU